UCCAGACUGAGAGAUGGUGCUGCUGAUGCUGGAAGUGGUGGUUUCACAGAUCUGCUCCCCCAGGAGAGUAUCUUCGGGUAGCAGCGUCUCUGCCCACAGCCGGCAGAUGCCAUCGAGGCAUGAUCUGUUGCAAAAUAUUCACCAUCAGGAGACCAUGACAUCAAAUGUACUGAUGUUGCAGUCCUACAGAACACAAGAGCAAGUUAAGUAAGAUCUAUUUAUUCUAAAAUAUUAUUCCAUAGGUAUUCAGUUGAUUCAGUGUUACUGCUCAUUAUUUAAAUUUAAUAUUAAAUUAAAUAAAAAUUAGAUUAAGCAUUUUAUAGUUGUUUUGUUAAGCAUACUUUUUGAAUAGCAGGAGCAUAAAAGUAUUGUCAUACUUUAUUGAAAAGACAGCUCAAAAAAUGGUUUAAGUACAGCAAGCCUAGGUUAGAUAGGUUAGAUUCAACAGGAGUGAGGAUUUUUUAUUUGAAAUAACUUAUAUUGUUUGAAUUUUAGGGUCUUUAAAAGCACAUUUUAAAAUACAGGUGAGGUAGCAUUGCAAUUUGUCUUAAAACAAAAAUGAUCUCACUUGCACUGCCAGACACAUUUCCAGUCAUUUAGAACCGGGAGAACUUUAUCAUCCUUGAUCUGAUUGCUGUCAUCAUCAUCUUCAUCUUCUUCUAGAAUGUCAUCAGAUGGAGGGGCCCACAAUUGCAAAAAGUCUGUAGCUGUCAAUAACCUGUCACCUGAAAGGGAGUGGUACCAAAGCUAUGGAACCAGGGUGAUGAAGUUUGAGAGGACCCUUGGACAAAUUUGUGUUUUAUCAGCCUCAGUAAUGGAAGGCAGAUGCUCUUCAGCAGCGGGCAGGCUUCGUCAGAGCCCCAGUGCAACUGGCUGUGUGCGCUUUGCGGACGAGAUAUAAACACACACAGACACACAAAUAUAUUUUAAAAAAAUUAAAAAAUAAAGACAGACAAAA